GCAUAUCAAUAAGCGGAGGAAAAGAAACCAACAGGGAUUACCUCAGUAACGGCGAGUGAAGCGGUAAGAGCUCAAAUUUGAAAGCUGGCUCCUUCGGGGUCCGCAUUGUAAUUUGCAGAGGAUGCUUCGGGAGCGGUCCCCAUCUAAGUGCCCUGGAACGGGACGUCAUAGAGGGUGAGAAUCCCGUAUGGGAUGGGGUGUCCGCGCCCGUGUGAAGCUCCUUCGACGAGUCGAGUUGUUUGGGAAUGCAGCUCUAAAUGGGUGGUAAAUUUCAUCUAAAGCUAAAUAUUGGCCGGAGACCGAUAGCGCACAAGUAGAGUGAUCGAAAGAUGAAAAGCACUUUGAAAAGAGAGUUAAAAAGCACGUGAAAUUGUUGAAAGGGAAGCGCUUGCGACCAGACUCGCUCGCGGGGUUCAGCCGGCAUUCGUGCCGGUGUACUUCCCCGCGAGCGGGCCAACGUCGGUUUGGGCGGUCAGUCAAAGGCCCCUGGAAGGUAACGCCCCCUCGGGGGCGUCUUAUAGCCAGGGGUGCAAUGUGGCCUGCCUGGACCGAGGAACGCGCUUCGGCUCGGACGUUGGCAUAAUGGUCGUAAGCGACCCGUCUUGAAACACGGACC
rnacentral:rRNA from 1 species